AUUGAACGCUGGCGGCAGGCCUAACACAUGCAAGUCGAGCGCGAGGCGGACGGGUGAGAAUAGUCUGGGACAAUGCCUCAUGGAGGGGGAUAACUACUGGAAACGGUAGCUCAUACCGCAUACCCUCAGAUGUGCCCAGAUGGGAUUAGCUAGUAGGUGGGGUAACGGCUCACCUAGGCGACGAUCCCUAGCUGGUCUGAGAGGAUGACCAGCCACACGGGAACUGAGACACGGUCCAGACUCCUACGGGAGGCAGCAGUGGGGAAGAUGGCACAAUGGGCGCAAGCCUGAUGCAGCCAUGCCGCGUGUGUGAAGAAGGCCUUCGGGUUGUAAAGCACUUGCAGCGGGGAGGCGUUACCCGCAGAAGAAGCACCGGCUAACUCCGUGCCAGCAGCCGCGGUAAUAC
rnacentral:rRNA from 1 species